rnacentral:rRNA from 1 species
UACGGGGGGGGGCAAGCGUUGUUCGGAAUUACUGGGCGUAAAGCGUGCGCAGGCGGUUGUGCAAGACAGAUGUGAAAUCCCCGGGCUCAACCUGGGAAUUGCAUUUGUGACUGCACGGCUAGAGUGUGUCAGAGGGGGGUAGAAUUCCACGUGUAGCAGUGAAAUGCGUAGAGAUGUGGAGGAAUACCGAUGGCGAAGGCAGCCCCCUGGGAUAACACUGACGCUCAUGCACGAAAGCGUGGGGAGCAAACAGG